rnacentral:lncRNA from 1 species
CUAACCCAACUCAAAAGUUAACUCUUGAAGGACAGAUUGCCCAAAACUAUAUAAAGAGAUCAAUGACCCUUUAACCCACCAAUGCGAAACUCCAAUAAUUUUUUCCAUGGGAAAGACAAAAUUAAAAAAGGAUUUAGCUUAUAUUAUAGAUAGAUUCAAGAACCGAACCAUGUAAUUAAUUUGAGCUUGAAAUUUUACAACCUA